rnacentral:rRNA from 1 species
UCAGGUGGCCGCAGAGAAUAGGCCCAAGCGACUGUUUACCAAAAACAUAGGUUUCUGCUAAGUCGCAAGACGAUGUAUAGGAGCUGACGCCUGCCCGGUGCUGGAAGGUUAAGGGGAUCUGUUAGAGCAAUCGAAGCAGUGAACUUAAGCCCCAGUAAACGGCGGCCGUAACUAUAACGGUCCUAAGGUAGCGAAAUUCCUUGUCGGGUAAGUUCCGACCCGCACGACAGGCGUAACGAUUUGGGCACUGUCUCAACAACAGACUCGGUGAAAUUGUAAUUCCGGUGAAGAUGCCGGAUACCUGCGACAGGACGGAAAGACCCCAUGGAGCUUUACUGUAGCUUGACAUUGGGUCUUGGUACUACAUGUACAGGAUAGGUGGGAGGCUUUGAAACCAGGACGCCAGUUUUGGCGGAGCCAUCCUUGGGAUACCACCCUUGUAGUACUGGGACUCUAACCAUAGGCCAUGAAUCUGGUCUUGGGACACUGUCAGGUGGGCAG